rnacentral:rRNA from 1 species
UGGAAACUNUCUGACUUGAGUGCAGAAGGGGAGAGUGGAAUUCCAUGUGUAGCGGUGAAAUGCGUAGAUAUAUGGAGGAACACCAGUGGCGAAAGCGGCUCUCUGGUCUGUCACUGACGCUGAGGCUCGAAAGCGUGGGUAGCGAACAGGAUUAGAUACCNUGGUAGUCCACGCCGUAAACGAUGAGUGCUAGGUGUUAGGCCCUUUCCGGGGCUUAGUGCCGGAGCUAACGCAAUAAGCACUCCGCCUGGGGAGUACGACCGCAAGGUUGAAACUCAAAGGAAUUGACGGGGGCCCGCACAAGCGGUGGAGCAUGUGGUUUAAUACGAAGCAACGCGAAGAACCUUACCAGGUCUUGACAUCCCGAUGCUAUUCUUAGAGAUAGGAAGUUACUUCGGUACAUCGGAGACAGGUGGUGCAUGGUUGUCGUCAGCUCGUGUCGUGAGAUGUUGGGUUAAGUCCCGCAACGAGCGCAACCCUUAUUGUUAGUUGCCAUCAUUAAGUUGGGCACUCUAGCGAGACUGCCGGUAAUAAACCGGAGGAAGGUGGGGAUGACGUCAAAUCAUCAUGCCCCUUAUGACCUGGGCUACACACGUGCUACAAUGGUCGGUACAACGAGUUGCGAGCCGGUGACGGCAAGCUAAUCUCUGAAAGCCGAUCUCAGUUCGGAUUGGAGGCUGCAACUCGCCUCCAUGAAGUCGGAAUCGCUAGUAAUCGCGGAUCAGCACGCCGCGGUGAAUACGUUCCCGGGCCUUGUACACACCGCCCGUCACACCACGAGAGUUUGUAACACCCGAA